GGUCAUGGUGGGAUCAAGAUAGUUUCUGGCCACAUGCUCACAGACACAGCACAGCCCAGAGCAUUGACCGGGUCCUUUCAACAUGCCACAGAACAUUACGCAAGACUGUGCAGAAACACCCUCCUUUUCCAUGAGUUGAAGUGUGGUUGGUUGUGCAACGUGCCAUGCCUUCUCUGACCACCUCUGUCACAUUGAACUGGGUCACACAGACAAACAGGUUAUGGCAUACGUGGUUUCCCCCUCAGAGAAUACAUCACAACAGAUCGUGGCUAUAAUAUUGAAUCAAAUCCUCUACGGUGGAUCGAAGUAACUCAGCCACAGUGCAACUAAAAGGGUCCCGGCUGACGGCUCUAGUCUAGCUACAGUACCAAACAGCAUACAGCCCAUGAACUUCCGAGCUCAGCCUGGUCCCAGAACUGUUGUGCUGUACUGCCAACUUAUGAGGUUGUCGUUGGCAUGACGACAGCCAGAGAGGGCUAUUCGGUGAAAACAGGGGAAGGGGCUUCUCAGGGCCUAGACUGGGGUCCGUCUCUGGUUUGGGUCUGGCAGCCCUCUUCCUCCCUACCUCUCCAGACCCCAUCAACAGCCUCUGUGUUCAGCCUACAUGUGAUACAGCAGACACCAUGAAUCCUGGUCUAGUGCUCCCAGUGAACUGAUUCCUGAUGCUUCUGACAGCUCCUGAUGUGCUGCCCUUCUCCCCUGUCUCGAGAACCCAGAGCCUCGAAAGCCAAGGCUGUUUCAGGUUGCAAUUGGAUGGAAGGAAAGUUAAUUUAGCCCUGACAAUUAAUCUGCAGGAGCCAAACACCCUGUCUGGCUGUUGAAGUGUGACAGCACUGGCGAAGCAGCAGCAACAGCCAGCCUGGACGGGUGCGAUCUGUCUCUCAGCUC
rnacentral:lncRNA from 1 species